ACGCUUUACCGUUUAAAACUUUUCAAAAAUUGUCCUUACUUUGUGUAAUGUGCUCUGAUAGUAUCUGGUCUAUCCCAUUACAUUCUAAUUCCACUCUUUUUUUUAAAAUUCUCAUCCUGACUCAUCAUUAAAAUGAUUUCAUGAUUCAUUAAUGGAUCAGGACCUGAAGUUUAAAAAACACUAUUUGUAAAUGGUGGGCAAUUUUAAGAGGUGAAUAAACAGGAGAAUGAUAUGAUUAUGAAAGCCUGGCCAAGCAUUUAAGAUGGACAGACUGAACUGAAGGAGGCAGCUCUCCGAGAGAUGAUGAGAGUCUGAACCAACCAAUACAAAUAAUAAUGAGAGUCAACAUUUAUUGAAGCAUUUCUUGUGAGUGUCCUAUGAAAAGCUAGAUUUGAGUGCAUUCUAUUAUUUUACCAGUUAAAUCCUUAAACAAAUAUUUAUAUUUGUUAUUUAUUAUUACUGUUUUACAGAUUUAAGAGCUGAGACUUUGAAAAUGUUCUUAAGUUCUUAUAGUUUGUGUUUGGCAAAGCCAGAAUUUGAUUGUAGAUAUACAUGACCAGGUCCAAGCUCUUAUACGUUUCAUUCCUAUCUCCUUUCCUCUCAAAAAUAUUUUGUAUUUUAUUGUGCAGAGUUCAGUACAUUUUGUUAUGGAUAAAUGAUGUACAGCCAAAGAAAUGUUUGAAGUCUCUUCCAGGUUUCUCAGGAGAGGGGUCAUGGAAUUUUUCUAACAAGAGAGGUAUUUCAAAUUUAGAACUGUGAAUUAGUCAAGUUGUCAAUUCAGGUUGUCAAAUCACAGAAUAAACCUCCUGCAAGCCUCGUAUUAUGCCAUUUUACCAAGGUGCUUAUUUCUGUUUGUUAAGAAAUAUAAUAAUGUUUCACUUAAACAUUUCACAAACAGGUAUUAUUGUCUCGGCAGGUAUGUACUUAAUGUCAUCAUGCAGGGUGACAGUGCAGAAAGUAAGAUAAAUUGAACAUGUGCUGCUGCUGCUGCUGCUGCUGCUAAGUCACUUCAGUCGUGUCCGA
rnacentral:lncRNA from 1 species